rnacentral:rRNA from 1 species
UGAGGAAAGUAUUGCACAAUAGGAGGGAAACUCUGAUGCAGCAACGCCGCGUGGAGGAUGACGCAUUUCGGUGUGUAAACUCCUUUUAUGAGUCAAGAAAAUGACGGUAGCUCAUGAAUAAGCACCGGCUAACUCCGUGCCAGCAGCCGCGGUAAUACGGAGGGUGCAAGCGUUAUUCGGAAUCACUGGGCGUAAAGGACGCGUAGGCGGGAAGCCAAGUCUGAUGUGAAAUCCUAUGGCUUAACCAUAGAACUGCAUUGGAAACUGGUUACCUAGAGUAUGGGAGGGGGAGAUGGAAUUAGUGGUGUAGGGGUAAAAUCCGUAGAUAUCACUAGGAAUACCGAAAGCGAAGGCGAUCUCCUGGAACAAUACUGACGCUAAGGCGUGAAAGCGUGGGGAGCAAACG